rnacentral:rRNA from 1 species
UACGUAGGUGGCAAGCGUUGUCCGGAAUUAUUGGGCGUAAAGCGCGCGCAGGCGGUCCUUUAAGUCUGAUGUGAAAGCCCACGGCUCAACCGUGGAGGGUCAUUGGAAACUGGGGGACUUAAGUACAGAAGAGAAGAGUGGAAUUCCACGUGUAGCGGUGAAAUGCGUAGAGAUGUGGAGGAACACCAGUGGCGAAGGCGACUCUUUGGUCUGUAACUGACGCUGAGGCGCGAAAGCGUGGGGAGCAAACAGG